GUAAAUUUGCAGUAUUUUUUUUUACCUGUCCCUAAGGACACCGUUAACCACCAGUGAGGGGAUUACCUGCCGCCAUUUUCCAGGGGUGUAGCAGUCUCACCAGAGCAGCUGCAAAAGGUGGAGGGUCAUAAAUGAAUCCUACAUGACCUCAUCAUCCAGUCUUUACCCAGGAUGUAGAAAAUACCAAAUCUAUCCCAAGUGAAGGUGUCAGGCUGCCUCAACAUUUUGGUGUGGAUGCUGAAGCUAUGUACAUCCUGAAAGAAGCCGAUCAUACACUGCUCAAGGCCCGGGGUCAUGGCGGAUAGAGAUGAUGGCUGGGGAUCCGGGGAUGAUG